AUCAUGAUCAUCUACCCGGACCUCAUCAGCCACGAUGAGCUGUUCUCCGACAUCCACAAGAUCCCGGAGAUCGCCGGCGGGCUGUGCCUGGAGGUGGAGGUCAGUAGGACAGAGGCUAACAUUGAUGACUCGCUCAUUGGUGGAAAUGCCUCCGCCGAAGGCCCCGAGGGCGAAGUACCAAACGCACAGUAGUCACUGGUGUGGACUUCGUCAUGAACCAUCACUUGCAGGAGACCAGUUUCACAAAGGAAGCCUACCAAAAGCACAUCAAAGAUUACAUGAAAUCACUUAAAGGCAAACUUAAAGAACAGAAAUCUGGAAGAGUAAAGCCUUUUAUGACAGGAGCUGCAGAGCAAAUCAAGCACAUCCUUGCUAAUUUCAAUAACUACCAGGUUUUUAUUGGUGAAAACAUGAAUCCAGAUGGCAUGGUUGCUCUCCUGGACUACCAUGAGGAUGGUGUGACCCCAUUUAUGAUUUUCUUUAAGGAUGUUUUAGAAAUGAAAAAACGUUAACAAAUUGGGCAAUUAUUUUGGAUCUAUCACCUGUUACCAUAACUGGCUGCUGCUUGUCAUCCACACAACACCAGGACUUAAGACAAAUGGGACUGGUGUCAUCUGGAACUCUUCAUUUCUUUUGACCAUGGUUUAUUUGGAGUGGAGACAUUGUUUUUUAAG